AAUGGCUGAACCUGAGGAGACACCUGGUGGAGAAUGGAAGCAUUCUUCUCUCUGGGGGAGCACAAGAAAUGAACACUUAGCACAAACAUAUUAUUGUGACAAUUACAUCAGGAAACCUUGAAUGGAAACAUAAAUGGAGGAAAGAUUUACAGGUAAUUUUAUUUUUCUUCUUUGUGGCUUUUUAUCCUUUAUCACAGUAUACAAUGAUCAUUCUUAUUAUAACUUAUAAAAUUUUGCAUUUUUAUAAUUGUUUGAAAUAUGCUGUUCUGUCAGACUGAAAGUUUCAUUAACAGAUGGUUCCGACUAUUGUGUUUAUUACAAUAUCCACAGUCCCUAGGAUAAGAUCUAGCAAAUGCGUGGUAAAUAUUUCUUAUUCGAUUAAUUGAUAAAUGAUGACUGAAUGAAGAGUAAAUGAAUAAAAAAUAAACCAUAACCUCUGUUUCCAUUCCCACAUGUAGGGAGGUUGACAGCCACCAAUCUGUCCAAACAGGUAAAAAGUUAAACAAAUUGAAAAAUCAAUCCACUCUCCUUAGAUUAAUAAGGACGGACCCAGGUCAAACCUGUGUGUCUUACCUCCAGGACUUUGACCAGGUUCUCACGGUAAAUAUGGAAGAAAAAUCUCCCCUAGCUUCUAGCAGGGAAAGAGAAAAGGAGAUCACUUAGAAAUAUUCCAGAACACUUUGUUCUUCUUAACAAGGUCUAUUCUCAGCAGAAACUAGUUAACCAGAGCCUAACUUAUGGGGAUUUUAUUAGAGCUGAUCUAACCUGCGGUAGUGAAAUACCCAACUCCAGUCCACUCUAGCCUUCCAUGUGCGAAAAAAAAAUGACCAAAUCCCGGCCCACUGUAGCCAUGCUGUUCUACCUAAGAGACAGGGGAGAAAAAGCACUGAGAAACAGUUAUGAAACUCACAGUUCAGAGGCAUAGGCUCAUUAAAAGACUGAGACUUAAUCAUAGCACUAUAGAAUGCUCUGACCACCUCAUUACUAACAGACUAUUUACAGCAAUAUCUCCUAAUUAGUACGUCCUGUUCAGUUAACAAGAAAAAUUUACAACACAUACUAAAAGGAAAACAUACAGUUUGAAGAGACAGAGCAUACAUCAGGAUGAGGCAUGUCAGGGGUGUUGGAAAUAUUAUA
rnacentral:lncRNA from 1 species